UACGGGGGGGGCAAGCGUUGUUCGGAAUUACUGGGCGUAAAGGGCUCGUAGGUGGCCAACUAAGUCAGACGUGAAAUCCCUCGGCUUAACCGGGGAACUGCGUCUGAUACUGGAUGGCUUGAGUUUGGGAGAGGGAUGCGGAAUUCCAGGUGUAGCGGUGAAAUGCGCAGAUAAUCAGGAGGAACACCGAUGGCGAAGGCAGGUCUCGUGGGCAUUAACUGACGCUGAGGAGCGAAAGCAUGGGGAGCGAACAGG
rnacentral:rRNA from 1 species